rnacentral:rRNA from 1 species
UACAGAGGUCUCAAGCGUUGUUCGGAUUCAUUGGGCGUAAAGGGUGCGUAGGCGGCGCGGUAAAGUCGGGUGUGAAAUCUCGGGGCUUAACUCCGAAACUGCAUUCGAUACUGCCGUGCUUGAGGACUGGAGAGGAGACUGGAAUUACGGUGUAGCGGUGAAAUGCGUAGAUAUCGAGAGGAACACCAGUGGCGAAGGCGAGUCUCUGGACGACCCUGACACUGAGGCACGAAAGCUAGGGAGCAAACAGG